rnacentral:rRNA from 1 species
AGAAUCAACGCUGGCGGCGUGCCUAACACAUGCAAGUCGAACGAGAAAGGGUAGCAAUACCUGAGUAAAGUGGCGCACGGGUGAGUAACACGUGACUAACCUACCUUUUAGUGGGGGAUAACCUAGGGAAACCUGGGCUAAUACCGCAUAAUACCUACGGGUCAAAGCAGCAAUGCGCUGAAAGAGGGGGUCGCGGUCGAUUAGUUAGUUGGCAGGGUAAUGGCCUACCAAGACUGUGAUCGAUAUCCGGCCUGAGAGGGCGCACGGACACACUGGAACUGAAACACGGUCCAGACUCCUACGGGAGGCAGCAGUGGGAAUUUGCGCAAGUGGGGGAAACCCUGACGCAGCAACGCCGCGUGGAGGAUGAAGUCCCUUGGGACGUAAACUCCUUUCGAUCGGGACGAUAAUGACGGUACCGGAAGAAGAAGCCCGGCUAACUUCGCGCCAGCAGCCGC